rnacentral:tRNA from 1 species
GGCUUUGUAUUCAUUUUGUGAUUAUAGAAUGCAAUUCUGUAGGGGUAGGUUGGACUUACCAAGGCCU